rnacentral:rRNA from 1 species
UGUGGAGCUUUAGACACCAGGGCAGGCUGUGUGAAUAAAACCUGAAUAAGGACCAGAACAAGCAGACGCUGCCCAAAUGUUUUUGGUUGGGGCGACCGUGGGGGAAAAAAUAACCCCCAUGUGGACCGGGAGAACCUCUCCUAGAAGCAAGAACCACAGUUCUAGCUGACAGAACUUCUGACCUACAAGAUCCGGCCAAUGCCGAUUAACGGACAGAGUUACCCCA